rnacentral:rRNA from 1 species
UACAGAGGUGGCAAGCGUUGUUCGGAAUUACUGGGCGUAAAGGGCGCGUAGGCGGUUCGUUAAGUCCUGUGUGAAAUCCCCCGGCUCAACUGGGGAACUGCACAGGAAACUAGCGGGCUUGAGUUCGGGAGAGGGAAGCGGAAUUUCGGGUGUAGCGGUGAAAUGCGUAGAUAUCCGGAGGAACACCGGUGGCGAAGGCGGCUUCCUGGACCGACACUGACGCUGAGGCGCGAAAGCUAGGGGAGCAAACGGG